rnacentral:rRNA from 1 species
CAUGGCUGUCGUCAGCUCAGUGUUGUGAAAUGUUGGGUUAAGUCCCGUAACGAGGGCAACCCUUGUCCUUAUUUGCCAGCGAGUAAUGUCGGGAACUCUAAGGAGACUGCCGGUGACAAACCGGAGGAAGGUGGGGACGACGUCAAGUCAUCAUGGCCCUUACGGGUAGGUCUACACACGUGCUACAAUGGCCGGUCCAAAGGGCUGCGAGCUCGCGAGAGUCAGCGAAUCUAUUAAACCCGGUUUCAGUCCGGAUCGGAGUUUGCAACUCGAAUCCGUG